GGCAAGUCCUAUGUUGCCACAGUUCUUCUUCACAUCUCACUGCGUAAAGUUGUCCCAAGGCUCUCAAGAUGCGUUCAGUUGGUUCGCCGCACGGCUGGGGUUCGUACUGGGCAUCUAAAGCUCCAAGUGGAAGUCCCACUGAAGAAAACGUUCAACGAAUGUCGAUAUCUGCGCCUAUUAAUUCCCCAGGCAAACCUUUGAAGCAGCUACUGCAAUCAGCUGCAUCCACAACCGAGAAGACUUGUUCCCAACGCAGCGCUCGAGGAUGGAAUAUUAAGAAGAGCUGAACAAAUCGACUCGGAUUGUUUUGGUAUAAAUUUUUUGAAGGAAUACUAUUUUUUGGUACUAUAUAAUAUAUUCUACUGAUAAAUAAUCAACCCACGUGAAUAUUCCAUACAUUUUUUGAAGGAAUAAUAUUUUUUGAGACUAAUAAAUAAUCAGCCCACGUGACUAUUUCCGUAUGUUCAUCAGUAUUUUCACCCUGAAAAUACAAUUUGAAUAUGCAAUAAACUUUCAUUGGCUAGAAUAAUUAAAAUGACCUCUUAAAUUUACGCAAGGCCAGUAGUAUUUGGUAUAUUAGGAAAAUUUCAAUUGGUGUCGUUUUAAUCAAAUUCGUUUUAAACUGAAGUGUGUUAAUAAAGCGGAAGAAAAUGUGUCUGUCUCUCUUAAUUGUGAGGGAUCGAUUUCGGUUCUUAAACGGCUGUUAAAGCCUAAAUGUAAAUGGCGUCUAAAGAUAAGAUUAAGUUAGAGAUAUUCCUUAGUUUUUCAGCGAAGGCUUUUCUGACAAACAAUGAUUAUUGAAGCCGUACAAGUUUUUAAUUUUAUAUAAAAUAAAUUUUAAAUUAAAUUAUUCCAAUCCAAAUUGAAGUAAUUAAAUCGAGAAAAGAUGCAUUCAACCUGAUAUAGUUUAUACGCCUAUUACAAAUUGCCGACAAUUUUAAUUUUGUUAUGCAUUACUUAAUCUCUGCUGUCAUCAGGCUGGGACGUUUCAAGCUUUAUCGUCAGCGUCUGCUUAUUUUUAGACUCCCUGUUGAGAUUGUCGAGUACAAAGGUUCAUUUUUCUGCUGGUAAAAUGAGAAAAAACAACAUGCUUGUAGAAUUUAAGUAUUUAUGCUGUCGAUGACUAAAAUAUAAAUUUAUUAGUCAUUCUAAUAUAUUUUCAUAAUUUUAUACCAACCGCAUUUUAUUGUAACUGUUGUUUUAGGCAAUACAUUAUUUUAACCACGUACUUUCAACAGUUUACGCUAAGAGUACAGUUUACAGUUUCAGGCCAACUGCAAAUGACUGAUUAUGCGUUAAAGAAUAAUUAGUAAAUAAAUUAACCCAUGUGCAAUUUUAAAAGAAUUAAAGUUAAGAAUAAAUAAUGUACGAACUCAUUUUUUCCUUGUCUGGUAGCCAUUUCAAUGGAGUUUUUUGGGAUGCAUUAAAAAAAGAUGAUUUUAAUUGCUGAGGGGAUAUCAUGAGUUUUAAAUUUUAUAGUCUCUGUGUGUUUGUUUGAAACCUGGUGCUGUGCAUCUGAAAAAUUUUGUAAGCAUUUAGUUGACGUUAGGAUUUAGACUCCUUCAUAAUCGUUCAGAUCGGUUAAAGCGGGUUUGCGUGUAAGUAAUACGCAUGGAACUUCUAUGUACACGUGACUUGUCAAAUAGCUAUCGACUUUUUAACCUUUUGUGUGUCAUACAGACUCAGUUUCUUCCGAAAACUGGGCGUAUCAGUGCUACGUGCGGAUGGUGUGUGUCAAUGUUUGGUCAAAAUGACUCAAUAAUAUUUCUGAGUGCAUGCAAAUUUAUAUAUCUGUGCGUUUGCGCAACAAAUGAACCUGGAAUUUUAUUGAACGUUGCGAUAUUAUAUUUUAAGCAACUUAAGUUUUAAUUCAGCAAAAUAGAAUUAAAUGCUAAGUAAAAGUCACAUUUCAUGAUUGGUCGAGUCGAACUUUAUUCCCAUUUUUUUUGGUCGAGUCGAACUUUAUUCUCGUUUUUGUUCCCCGUCUGAGCGACUCACAAUUCAUUAAAAUUGAACUUUGCCUUAUGUUUAGGUAGAUUGUGAUGAAUGGAAACAAAUUUAUUCGAAGUAUUGUAAGAACUCCCUUUAUCAUGACACUAUACGAGUAAUCAGUUAGCAUUCUAUUGUGAAUACCGUACAAUAUAACUUCCUUAAUUAAUCUUUAUCGAUCCUGUCCAAAGAGGACUUUAGUAAUUAAUUUAAAUAAUAAUUAAUUAUUAAUGCAAGUAAUAAAAUUCACUAUUAAACUAUUGAAAGAGAACUGAGAUUAAAAGAAUCUUGUGUUACUGGUCGGCGGUCGAUAAUGAAGCUGUUCAUCACUUUAUGUAGGAAAAUAAAUUAAUUUCAUUGUACUGGUGCUCGUCGAGACUCUUGUGAAUAGAGAUGUCCUACAUGAUACCUCAAACAAAUACGAAAAAUCGGCUUCUGCUUGUGAACUGAAAUUUGUAAUAUGAAUAUCAAUUGUGAAAGUUUUUUCUUUCUGAUAGACUGAGUACAUGAAAUG